AUUGAACGCUGGCGGCAUGCUUUACACAUGCAAGUCGAACGGUAACAGGGAGCUUGCUCUGCUGACGAGUGGCGAACGGGUGAGUAAUGCAUCGGAACAUGCCCAGUCAUGGGGGAUAACUACGCGAAAGCGUAGCUAAUACCGCAUACGCCCUGAGGGGGAAAGUGGGGGAUCUUAGGACCUCACGUGAUUGGAGUGGCCGAUGUCAGAUUAGCUAGUUGGUGAGGUAAAGGCUCACCAAGGCGACGAUCUGUAGCGGGUCUGAGAGGAUGAUCCGCCACACUGGGACUGAGACACGGCCCAGACUCCUACGGGAGGCAGCAGUGGGGAAUUUUGGACAAUGGGCGCAAGCCUGAUCCAGCCAUGCCGCGUGAGUGAAGAAGGCCUCGG
rnacentral:rRNA from 1 species